GUUGACCAUGAUGGGGUUUAAACCAAAGACAUUACACUAGGUUAGCUGUUGACCAUGUUGGGGUUUAAACCAAAGACAUUACACUAGGUUAGCUAGCUGUUGACCAUGUUGGGGUUUAAACCAAAGACAUUACACUAGGUUAGCUGUUGACUGUUGUGGGGUUUAA